rnacentral:rRNA from 1 species
UACGUAGGUGGCAAGCGUUGUCCGGAAUUAUUGGGCGUAAAGCGCGCGCAGGCGGUCCUUUAAGUCUGAUGUGAAAGCCCACGGCUCAACCGUGGAGGGUCAUUGGAAACUGGGGGACUUGAGUGCAGAAGAGGAAAGCGGAAUUCCACGUGUAGCGGUGAAAUGCGUAGAGAUGUGGAGGAACACCAGUGGCGAAGGCGGCUUUCUGGUCUGUAACUGACGCUGAGGCGCGAAAGCCAGGGGAGCAAACGGGG